CAGAUGGCGUUAUAUACGCAUAUAUAUGUAAAUAUAUGUAUAUGGGAUAUGGGAAAAGGUUAUGGCGUUAUAUACGCACCACAACCUGAUCAGAUGGUAUACGUUGAUGAUUUCGCCCACAGUGGCACCAGAUGGCAUUAUAUACGCGUAUAUAUGUAAAUAUAUGUAUAUGUGAUAUGGGAAAAGGUUAUGGCGUUAUAUACACACCACCACAUGAUCAGCUGGUAUACAAUGAUGAUGUUGCCCGCAGCGGCUGAAAUGAUAUGAUGGGAUGCCCUCAAAGGCUUGAUGAUGUUAUGUACAUACAAACCUAUGAAUUACAUGACAUGUGUACGCAUAUGCAUGACCUUAUAAAUAUUUCAUGAUUUACAGAGCCAUCCAGAUUUACAGGUAGAGUCAUUUACUCUAUAUUUCUUCCAUGUCUUUAAUUAAUGUUGACUUAUUGUUAAGUUUCAAUUCUGGCUUACAUACUCAGUACAUUAUUCGUACUGACAUCCUUUUGCUGGGGACACUGCAUUCAUGCUUACAGGUAUAGAUAAACAGUUUGACAAGCCCUCAUAGUAGACGAGGUCAGCAUUCAGCUAAGGAUCGGUAAGACUCCAUCUCAUUCGGAGUGCAACCGAGUUUUAUGAGUCAUUGUGUCAGAAUUUUUCUACAGACUUAUGGGUAGGCCGGUACCCUAUCCCAUUUUAUGUCAAAUAAUCUUAGAGGCUUUGUAGACACAGGUUUAUUAUGUACAAUAUGUCAGAGGCCUUGAUGGCCCAUAUGUAUUCAUGUUUUAUGAACGAUGGUUCAUUGAUA
rnacentral:lncRNA from 1 species